UACGAAGGGGGCUAGCGUUGCUCGGAAUCACUGGGCGUAAAGGGUGCGUAGGCGGGUCUUUAAGUCAGGGGUGAAAUCCUGGAGCUCAACUCCAGAACUGCCUUUGAUACUGGCGAUCUCGAGUCCGGGAGAGGUGAGUGGAACUGCGAGUGUAGAGGUGAAAUUCGUAGAUAUUCGCAAGAACACCAGUGGCGAAGGCGGCUCACUGGCCCGGUACUGACGCUGAAGUGCGAAAGCGUGGGGAGCAAACAGG
rnacentral:rRNA from 1 species